rnacentral:rRNA from 1 species
AGGAGCUUGCUCCUUUGACGUUAGCGGCGGACGGGUGAGUAACACGUGGGUAACCUACCUAUAAGACUGGGAUAACUUCGGGAAACCGGAGCUAAUACCGGAUAACAUUUGGAACCGCAUGGUUCUAAAGUGAAAGAUGGUUUUGCUAUCACUUAUAGAUGGACCCGCGCCGUAUUAGCUAGUUGGUAAGGUAACGGCUUACCAAGGCGACGAUACGUAGCCGACCUGAGAGGGUGAUCGGCCACACUGGAACUGAGACACGGUCCAGACUCCUACGGGAGGCAGCAGUGGGAAUCUUCCGCAAUGGGCGAAAGCCUGACGGAGCAACGCCGCGUGAGUGAUGAAGGGUUUCGGCUCGUAAAACUCUGUUAUUAGGGAAGAACAAAUGUGUAAGUAACUGUGCACGUCUUGACGGUACCUAAUCAGAAAGCCACGGCUAACUACGUGCCAGCAGCCGCGGUAAUACGUAGGUGGCAAGCGUUAUCCGGAAUUAUUGGCGUAAAGCGCGCGUAGGCGGUUUCUUAAGUCUGAUGUGAAAGCCCACGGCUCAACCGUGGAGGGUCAUUGGAAACUGGGAAACUUGAGUGCAGAAGAGGAAAGUGGAAUUCCAUGUGUAGCGGUGAAAUGCGCAGAGAUAUGGAGGAACACCAGUGGCGAAGGCGACUUUCUGGUCUGUAACUGACGCUGAUGUGCGAAAGCGUGGGGAUCAAACAGGAUUAGAUACCCUGGUAGUCCACGCCGUAAACGAUGAGUGCUAAGUGUUAGGGGGUUUCCGCCCCUUAGUGCUGCAGCUAACGCAUUAAGCACUCCGCCUGGGGAGUACGACCGCAAGGUUGAAACUCAAAGGAAUUGACGGGGACCCGCACAAGCGGUGGAGCAUGUGGUUUAAUUCGAAGCAACGCGAAGAACCUUACCAAAUCUUGACAUCCUUUGAAAACUCUAGAGAUAGAGCCUUCCCCUUCGGGGGACAAAGUGACAGGUGGUGCAUGGUUGUCGUCAGCUCGUGUCGUGAGAUGUUGGGUUAAGUCCCGCAACGAGCGCAACCCUUAAGCUUAGUUGCCAUCAUUAAGUUGGGCACUCUAGGUUGACUGCCGGUGACAAACCGGAGGAAGGUGGGGAUGACGUCAAAUCAUCAUGCCCCUUAUGAUUUGGGCUACACACGUGCUACAAUGGACAAUACAAAGGGCAGCUAAACCGCGAGGUCAUGCAAAUCCCAUAAAGUUGUUCUCAGUU